GACGAACGCUGGCGGCGUGCUUAACACAUGCAAGUCGAACGGUGAACGAGGGAGCUUGCUCCCUCCGGAUCAGUGGCGAACGGGUGAGUAACACGUGAGCAAUCUGCCCCGAACUCUGGGAUAAGCGUUGGAAACGACGUCUAAUACCGGAUACGACGCGGGAGGGCAUCCUCUCCGCGUGGAAAGAACUUCGGUUCGGGAUGAGCUCGCGGCCUAUCAGCUUGUUGGUGAGGUAACGGCUCACCAAGGCGACGACGGGUAGCCGGCCUGAGAGGGUGACCAGCGACAAUAGGACUGAGAGAGGGACCAGACGCGUACGGGAGGCAGCAGGGGGGAGUAUGACACAAUGGGCGCAAGCCUGAUGCAGAAACGCCGCGUGAGGGACGACGGCCUUCGGGUUGUAAACCUCUUUUAGCAGGGAAGAAGCGAAAGUGACGGUACCUGCAGAAAAAGCACCGGCUAACUACGUG
rnacentral:rRNA from 1 species